rnacentral:rRNA from 1 species
GGUCAAGCUACUAAGGGCUUAUGGUGGAUGGCUUGGCAGAAGCAGGCGAAGAAGGACGGGGUAAGCUCCGAUAAGCUCCGGGGAGUCGCAAACAGGCAUUGAUCCGGAGAUUUCCGAAUGGGGAAACCCACUCCGAAAAAAGCGGAGUAUCUCUUACUGAAUACAUAGGUAAGAGAGGCUAACCAGGGGAAGUGAAACAUCUCAGUAUCCUGAGGAGAAGAAACCGCAGGGGAUUCCCCCAGUAGCGGCGAGCGAAAAGGGAAGAGCCUAAACUCUGGCAGUUAAUGUCAGAGGGUUGCGGGACUUUCCAUAAAGUGGUAGAGGGAUAGCAGAAUAGGCUGGAAAGCCUAACCGCAGAGGGUGAAAGUCCUGUAUGCGAAAUCCCAAAGCCACAGGGAAGUAUCCCAAGUACUACGGGACACGAGAAACCCCGUAGGAAUCCGGCCUGACCACAGGCCAAGGCUAAAUACUCGCUUCUGACCGAUAGUGCACAAGUACCGUGAGGGAAAGCUGAAAAGUACCCCGGUGAGGGGAGUGAAAUAGUACCUGAAACCAUAAGCUUACAAGCGGUCGGAGCCCUGCUUUUUCUUCAGAAAGAGUGGGGUGACGGCGUACCUUUUGCAUAAUGAGCCGGGGAGUUACUCCUGUAUAGCGAGCUUAACUCCAGUUAACUUCGGAGGUAGGCGUAGGGAAACCGAGUCCUAACUGGGCGCUUAGUUAUACAGGGUAGACCCGAAGCUGGGGUGAUCUACCCAUGGUCAGGAUGAACCUCGAGUAACAUCGGGGGGAGGUCCGAACCCGUCAGUGUUGAAAAACUGUGGGAUGAACUGUGGGUAGGAGUGAAAGGCUAAACAAACCCAGGGAUAGCUGGUUCUCCCCGAAAUAACUUUAGGGUUAGCCUCGAGAUUGGGAGAUGGGGGUAGAGUACUCGAUGGGCUAGGGACCCUACCAGGUUGCCAAACCCAACGAAACUCCGAAUACCAUUUUCCUCUAUCUCGGGAGUCAGUCUACGGGCGAUAAGGUCCGUGGUCGAGAGGGGAACAACCCAGAUCGCCAGUUAAGGUCCCUAAAUGCAGGCUAAGUGGAAAAGGAUGUGAAAUCGCUUAGACAACCGGGAUGUUGGCUUAGAGGCAGCCAUCAUUUAAAGAGUGCGUAACAGCUCACCGGUCGAUUACCUACCAUGAAAAUGGUGGGUGCGAUUUUGCGCCGACAAUAAUCGGGGCUAAGCCUGCUACCGAAGCUGCGACCCUGUACUCCAAGGUACAGAGGGUAGGGGAGCAUUCCACCACAGUGAAGCGGAAGCGUAAGCGACCGUGGAGUGAGUGGAAGAGAGAAUCCCGGUAUAAGUAGCGAAAAUCCCGAUGAGAAAUCGGGACGCCGAAAGUCUAAGGUUUCCUGGGGAAGGUUAAUCCGCCCAGGGUUAGUCGAGCCUAAGCUGAGGCCGAAGGGCGUAAGCGAUGGAGAGCCGGUUAAUAUCCCGGCACCACUUCUCUUUUGUGCUGCGCAAGCGGUAAGCCUAAGGAUGACGCAGGAAGUUAAGCCAGCUCCGUGAAGACUUACGGAGUCCAAACCUGUAGCCUCGUAUAUUCAGCGAGGUGAGGGGUGUAAGGGAGUCCGAGCUACGGCGAGGGCAAACUGGUAGAAACUAAACUGCCGAGAAACAGUCCUGAUGGCGAAAGGGAGGAGUGUUCGUACCGCAAUCCGACACAGGUAGACGGCCAGAAUAUGGUAAGGCGCUCGA